GGCUUAUUGAUUAUAAUUUUAAGUCUGGCCUGCCCAAUGAUUUUUAAAUGGCCGCGGUAAUUUGACCGUGCAAAGGUAGCAUAAUCACUAGUCUCUUAAAUGGAAGCUUGUAUGAAAGGUUUAAUGAGAAAAUAGCUGUCUCUAUUUAAAUUUUUUAGAAUUUUAUUUUUAAGUUAAAAAGCUUAAAUAUAUAUGAAAGACGAGAAGACCCUUUAGAGUUUUAUAAUAAUAAAAAUAGAUCAAAUAUUUAGAAUAAAAAAAUUUAUUUUUAGAAAUUAUUUAAUUGGGGUGAUUGAAAAAUUUAAUUAACUUUUUUUUAUAAAUUAAACAUUGAUUUAUGAAAAAUUGAUCCUUAUAUAAAGAUUAUAAGAUAAAAUUACCUAAGGGAUAACAGCGUAAUUUUUUUUAGAGUUCUGAUCGAAAAAAAAGAUUGCGACCUCGAUGUUGGAUUAAAGAAAAUUAUUGGUGUAGAAGCUAAUAAAUUAGGUCUGUUCGACCUUUAAAACUUUACAUGAUCUGAGUUUAAACCGGUGUAAG
rnacentral:rRNA from 1 species